rnacentral:rRNA from 1 species
AUACGGAGGAUCCGAGCGUUAUCCGGAUUUAUUGGGUUUAAAGGGUGCGCAGGCGGCCAUUUAAGUCAGCGGUUAAAUCGUGGGGCUCAACCCCAUUCUGCCGUUGAUACUGGGUGGCUUGAUUGCCGUCGAGGGUGGCGGAAUUCGUAGUGGAGCGGGGAAAUGCAUAGAUAUGACGAAGAACACCGAUUGCGUAGGCAGCUGACCAGACCGCAAAUGACGCUCAUGCACGAAAGUGCGGGGAUCGAACAGGAUUAGAUACCCUGGUAGUCCGCACAGUAAACGAUGAAUACUUGUUUUCGGCGAUAUAAUGUCGGAGGCAAAGCGAAAGCGAUAAGUAUUCCACCUGGGGAGUACGCCGGCAACGGUGAAACUUAAAGGAAUUGACGGGG